GCUUAACACAUGCAGUCGAACGAAGUAGCAAUACUUAGUGGCGAACGGGUGAGUAUAAUGUGGGAAUCUGCCUUUUGGUUUGGAAUAACACGGGGAAACUUGUGCUAAUACCGGAUAAGCCUUCACAGGGAAAGCUUUAGCGCCAGAAGAUGAGCCCACACUUGAUUAGCUAGUUGGUAAGGUAAUGGCUUACCAAGGCUACGAUCAAUAGCUGAUCUGAGAGGAUGAUCAGCCACAUUGGGACUGAGACACGGCCCAAACUCCUACGGGAGGCAGCAGUGGGGAAUCUUGCACAAUGGGGGAAACCCUGAUGCAGCGAUGCCGCGUGAGUGAAGAAGGCCUUUGGGUUGUAAAGCUCUUUCGUCGGGGAAGAAAAUGACUGUACCCGAAUAAGAAGGUCCGGCUAACUUCGUGCCAGCAGCCGCGGUAAUACGAAGGGACCUAGCGUAGUUCGGAAUUACUGGGCUUAAAGAGCUCGUAGGUGGUCAGAAAAGUUGGUGGUGAAAUCCCAAGGCUUAACCUUGGAACUGCCACUAAAACUUUUUGACUAGAGUAUGAUAGAGGAAAGUGGAAUUUCUAGUGUAGAGGUGAAAUUCGUAGAUAUUAGAAAGAACACCGAUUGCGAAGGCAACUUUCUGGAUCAUUACUGACACUGAGGAGCGAAAGCAUGGGUAGCGAAGAGGAUUAGAUACCCUCGUAGUCCAUGCCGUAAACGAUGUGUGCUAGACGUUGGAAACUUAGUUUUCAGUGUCGCAGCAAAAGCGUUAAGCACACCG
rnacentral:rRNA from 1 species